rnacentral:lncRNA from 1 species
GAUCACGUGGCGCAGCAGUCAGGGCCCAGCGGCGGAGGGAGGCGGAGACUCAGACCGAGACACUAGGAGGGAGGAGGAGGUGGAGGAGGAGGAGGAGGAGGAGGAGGUGGUGGUGGUGAAGGAGGAGGAGGAGGAGGAGGAGAAGGAGGAGGCAGUGGUGGUGCCCUGGCUGCCGCCGACGCCGACACAGGAGAGGAGACAAGACGAGACACCGAGUGCCGCCGGCGCCGCCGCCGCCGCCCCCGGGGGAGAGGCAGUUAAGUCUAGUAGAAUAUUGGACUGGGAAUACUAGACUGCCCCACUGCCAUUCACUCCAUUUAUCUGUAUCUCUUUCUGAGCUGAUACUGAGAAAUGAUCAGGUAGCUAUUUUUGAUGUCCAGCUCUCCACAUGCCCUUUCUUCCCUACUUCCUGCACUCAGUUACUAUGGUUUUUGCAUCUAACUAUUGAAAUCUAGUAAGUAAAUACACUAAUUGGUAACAGAUAUCUUUAGUCC